GGUGUCGUGGUUUGAAGGGAAGUGAGUUUUUUGGAAGUAGUGGUCAAACCAAUUAGUCUUUAGAUCUGAAUAUUGGCACCUUUGUUGGCCACUAAGAGGUGGACACGCCUCUGAGGACACGAGGGGUUAAAAGCCGGAUUUCCCAGCAGGACUCGCUCUUUCCUGCUCUGCUUUCGGAGAGGGAGCGUCUUCUCCUCUCCCCUGCCGGCCUGGCUAGGCCGGGUGGGGGAGGGGAGCAAGGUGGGCCUGGCUUAGCAAGGCAGAAGAGAGUUAUCCCUGGACGCUGAAUUCUCAUAGUUGGUGGUUUUAGAAGAGAGAGGACAGCCUGGGGCCGAGAGGGUAAUGUGAGAUGAAAAGAAGCCCCUUCGAUGGCCGGAAUGAAGAGGAGUGGCUUAUGAGGCCGGACUUUUCUUGCAUAAUAUAGCCAUAGACGGACCCUGGACCCUCCUGACUAUAAAUAAGACUGUGUUUGGGUGGAUGUUUUGGGCUCAAACCCAGAGACGUUUUGGCCUGCUUCGUGGAGCCCCCGGCCCCAGGGGUAAAUGGGGGGGACCUGAGUCCCAAAAUGAGAAGAUGGCUGGUUUUUGGUACUUGGCCAAAACAUCCUUAAAAAGAGCCCUGUUGCAGUGCAGGUCCAUGGACGGCAGUGAGAGUGCCGGACAUGGAAAGGAGGGUGUCACCCUGGCAGACCCUUCGAGGCAGUGCCAUGGGUGACGUGGGAACACGGGAUGGUGGACCUGUGUUUCCUGUGGGGGGGGGUCUGUGGUGCGAGAGAGACUCCUCUCGUCCUGGAUGGAAUGUGGAUUGUCUGAAUUUUAAAGGAUGAUGGUUUGGAUUAGGAACCCAGGGUUGUUGGGGGAUUAAGCAAGUAGAUGAAGGUAAUGUGCUGGAGACAACUGAGUGAGCAUGUAUGGAAUGGAAAUUGGGGGGAGGAGAAGCAGUGUUUUGGGAGGUUUUCUCUUCUGCUUUUGGGUGGCUGGGUUUUUCUUUCCUUUUCUAUUGUCCAUUGUUAUGUAAUAUAAUAAAUUGUCUGUCUGUUUCAAGAA